rnacentral:lncRNA from 1 species
UAUUUUUUUUCAAUUUUAUUCUAAGGAGAUGAAAAUUAAACUAAUCUUAUUUGAUUUAUUGAUCAUUUGUUUUUUUACAAAUGACUAACCUAGUAAAUUGAAUUAAUUGAACUAAAAAAAAAGAUGAUGUCAUUUAUUUAUUUUCUAAAUAUGUCAAUUUUUACCCCUUUAAAAAAUCUUGGUGAUUUUUAUAGUAACAU